UUUUGAUUAUUUUAUUUUUUUUUAUUUUUAAUUUAUUUUUAAUUAAAGUUUUUUUAUUAAUUAUUAGUUUUAGUAUAUUUAUUUUGAAUGAAUUUUUUUUAGUUAUAGUUGAUUUGUACUGUUAAGGUUUAUGGGGUUUAUUUAUUAUUUUAUAAGUAGAUUUUUUUUUGUUGUACCUUUUGUAUCAGGGUGGAUUUAUUUUAUUUUAAUUAUUUAUUCUUCUCGAAUGUUGAUUGAUCUAAUUAUUUAUGUUAGUUAAGGUUUUAUACUUAUUCAUUAUUAAUAAUUAGGUGUGAUAUGCUAUUCGUAAUCUGUGAUAUCUAGUUAUUUGAUAAGUGAAUUUAAUUCAGUUAUAUUUAUUUAAUUUUAUUAUUUUGUUAAUUUAAUUAUUUAUUUAUAAUAAUAUUUUAGGGGAUUAGCUCUGAUUUAUUUUAUUAUAAUUUUUAUUUAUAGGAAGUUAUUUAGGCUUUUUAAUGGCUAUUAUUUUUUAGUAUUUUAUAAUUUAUCUUCUUUUUUGUUUAAAUUUAUUUUAAUUUAAUUAUUUAUUGAAUUGAUUUAUUUAAUUUUGUAUUAUUUAUAGUAAUGAUUUAAUUAGUAUAUUUAUAUUUAUAGAUUUAUUUAUUUGUUAAGAUUUUUUAAGGAACUAGGCAAAGGAAUUAAUUUAUUCGCCUGUUUAUCAAAAACAUCUUUUCUUGAAAUUUAUUUGAGAUUUGACCUGCCCAAUGAAUAGUUUAAUGGCCGCGGUAUUUUGACCGUGCAAAGGUAGCAUAAUCAUUAGUCUAUUAAUUGUUGACUUGUAUGAAUGGUUAGACGAAAUAUUGACUGUCUCUAUUAAUUUAUUAUAAUUUAAAUUUUGAGUUAAAAUGCUUAAAUUUUUUUAAAGGACGAGAAGACCCUAUAGAUCUUUAUUAAUUGAUUUAUUUAUUUGUUUAGUUUAUUAUUUUUAGGUAGGUUUAUUGGUUUUGUUGGGGUGACAUGAAGAUAGAAUUAACUCUUUAUUAUUUUUUACAUUGAUUUUUGUUUGUUUGACCUUUUAUUAUUGUUAUAAGAUAAAGAUACCUUAGGGAUAACAGCGUAAUUCUUUUUGAGAGUUCAUAUCGACAAAGGAGAUUGCGACCUCGAUGUUGGAUUAAGAUUAUUAUUAGGUGUAGAUGCUUAUAUAUUAGGUCUGUUCGACCUUUAAAUUCUUACAUGAUCUGAGUUCAAACCGGCGUGAGCCAGGUUGGUUUCUAUCCUUAAGUUUUUAAUUUAUAUUAGUACGAAAGGACCAUAUAAAUUGAAUAUUUUAUUUAUUUGACUUAUUAU
rnacentral:rRNA from 1 species